rnacentral:rRNA from 1 species
GGACGAACGCUGGCGGCGUGCCUAAUACAUGCAAGUCGAACGGCUUUUCUAUGGAAGCUUGCUUCCACUGAGAAGAUAGUGGCGAACGGGUGAGUAACACGUGGGUAACCUGCCCAUAAGAGGGGGAUAACAUCCGGAAACGGGUGCUAAUACCGCAUAGUUUUCUUGAUCGCAUGAUCGGGAAAGGAAAGACGGCCUUUGUGCUGUCGCUUAUGGAUGGACCCGCGGCGUAUUAGUUAGUUGGUGAGGUAACGGCUCACCAAGACGAUGAUACGUAGCCGACCUGAGAGGGUGAUCGGCCACAUUGGGACUGAGACACGGCCCAAACUCCUACGGGAGGCAGCAGUAGGGAAUCUUCCGCAAUGGACGAAAGUCUGACGGAGCAACGCCGCGUGAGUGAAAGAAGGUUUUCGGAUCGUAAAACUCUGUUGUCAGAGAAGAACAAGUUGGAGAGUAACUGCUCCAGCCUUGACGGUAUCUGACCAGAAAGCCACGGCUAACUACGUGCCAGCCGCCGC